AGGACAAACAGUUCCGCCGCUCCUCCUUCGCUCUUCGAGCUUCGGAGGAGAGGAAAGUCCGGACUUCCGGUUAUUCAAUUAACACGAGUAGCAGGUAAUCCCUGUCGAUCGUGAGAUAGAGUUGCGAACAGAGACGCCGAGAGAGCAAUCGCCUCGGGACCCUAAGCCGUCGGCUCGGGGUUAGUCUUGGAGGAAACUCCAAGGGUGAAACGGCUAAAUACUUACUUGGAAGCAAGGGCAAAUUAGGUAGCCCGCUUGAGUCGCGCCGCGAGGCGUGAUCGAGAUAGAUGGCGGUCAAAACAGAAUCCGGCUUAUUCGUUUGUCUUGGGA
rnacentral:RNase_P_RNA from 2 species